GAUGAACGCUAGCUACAGGCUUAACACAUGCAAGUCGAGGGGAAACGACAUCGAAAGCUUGCUUUUGAUGGGCGUCGACCGGCGCACGGGUGAGUAACGCGUAUCCAACCUGCCCACCACUUGGGGAUAACCUUGCGAAAGUAAGACUAAUACCCAAUGACGUCUCUAGAAGACAUCUGAAAGAGAUUAAAGAUUUAUCGGUGAUGGAUGGGGAUGCGUCUGAUUAGCUUGUUGGCGGGGUAACGGCCCACCAAGGCGACGAUCAGUAGGGGUUCUGAGAGGAAGGUCCCCCACAUUGGAACUGAGACACGGUCCAAACUCCUACGGGAGGCAGCAGUGAGGAAUAUUGGUCAAUGGACGAGAGCCUGAACCAGCCAAGUAGCGUGCAGGAUGACGGCCCUAUGGGUUGUAAACUGCUUUUAUAAGGGAAUAAAGUGAGUCUCGUGAGACUUUUUGCAUGUACCUUAUGAAUAAGGACCGGCUAAUUCCGUG
rnacentral:rRNA from 1 species